rnacentral:rRNA from 1 species
UACGUAGGGUGCAAGCGUUAAUCGGAAUUAUUGGGCGUAAAGGGCGCGUAGGCGGCUUUUCAAGUGACGGGUGAAAUCCCUCGGCUUAACCGAGGAACUGCCUGUCAGACUGGAAGGCUUGAGACCGGGAGAGGUGAGUGGAAUUCCCAGUGUAGCGGUGAAAUGCGUAGAUAUUGGGAGGAACACCAGUGGCGAAGGCGGCUCACUGGACCGGAACUGACGCUGAGGCGCGAAAGCGUGGGGAGCAAACAGG